GCGGGGGUUGCCAAGCCCGGUCAACGGCGCAGGUCAGAAAUUGUGCGAGGCUUAGAAUGAGCUUGGAAGUUUCCUACAACCCUGUUCCUUAGGGAUUCGUGGGUUCGAAUCCCACCUCCCGCA
rnacentral:tRNA from 1 species